AGCCUUACUGCCCUAGAAAUAAAAACUUCCAAAACAAAACAUCACAAGCCAGAGCAAAUUGAGCAAUUUCUCGUGUGUUGGACCCCACACCUCUCUACUUCCUCGUUUUCUUCCUGGUCUGUCAAGAUCGGUUGGCCUUGCAAAACAAACCCUUCAAACGGUUCUAUACUCUCUGCCAAAAUCCCAUGGAAGACUACAGCAGAUCAAAGUCAUAUGGCACUGGCAGUGGGACGAUGCAGAUGGAAAACUACUAUGGACCUCCAAGACCACCCACUUCCUAUGAGCUAAGGAGCUACAGUGUUUCUUAUGCACAAACCCAGAUGGCUAAUAACAAUAACAGGGACUUCAAGUUGAAGAAGGGAAAAAUCACUUCUGGUUCGUCCUCAAAGUCUAAUUGGGGUCUCAUGGACCCUGAGUUGCAGAGGAAGAAGAGGGUUGCUAGCUACAAAAUGUACUCUGUGGAGGGCAAGAUGAAGGGCUCCUUCAGGAAAAGCUUCAGGUGGCUUAAAGAUAAGUGCACCCAAGUGGUUUAUGGAUGGUGGUGAUUGGGAUUUGUUAAACCUUUUGUAUGAACAUCAGGCAAGGCCAACACUAUGGAGGAAUUGGAAGCUAAUUGUAUGCAAAUGGCUCUGGUACUUGAAUGCGAAGGAGACAACAAUCGGUUGCAAGAAGUUGGUGAGCUUAUAAAGGAUGCCGCUGCUGAAGAGCUAAAUCUUAAAGCCAGAAUUGAAGAGGCUGAGAAGCUGCUUGCAAAGAUCAGGCAACAUAAGCUUUAGCUGGCUGAAGACAUAGCGCAAAGGGUGUGUGAUCGGAGAUGUACCCUUCUUCCUCGGUUGGACUGCUUGAUUAGUUAUGGAAGGGACCUCGAAUACUGCUUGACCCUGGAGAGGGAGAAAAUGAAUAUAUUGCAACUAUUUCUGCUUCGUUUCGCAGACAAAUCUAACCAAAGAAAACCAAUUCAGCCCUGCUUGCCAGGAGAAGAGAUAGCUAAACGUGUAUAUAUUUUUUUUCUGAUUGUUUCUUGAUUAUUUCUUUUUUCCUUUCCAUUAAGCCUUUUUGAGUUUGUUAGAAAUGUGGACAUGGGUUCAGAAAUUGAAUUUCAGGAUGGGACACGGAACCAAAAGUUUGGCUAAGGAAAAACAGCUUCUGAAACAGAUCAAUGUGAGCCAGAAGGAGGGUGUUUGUUUAUUUUCCUCACUUGAAGAGGAAUAUCAUAUGCUUCCUGAAUAUUAUUCGUGGUGGCAUUACGAGAGAUGGUAUCAGACCAAUCAGAGAAAUAUAGUUCAAUACCGCCUAAGACAAAUCCAACAACUUAAAUGGCAAAGGGAAAGUUUGGCAGUUCUAUUGCAAGGGCAAUGGGAUGAAGCUAUUGCUAAAGCUAGUGGGAAUGCUAAUGCUAAUGCCAAUUCUGCUGCCAAUGCUGCUGCCAAUGCUAUUGCCAAGGGAAAGAUUUGGGAUUCUUUGGGUUCAAAAAAGUCCUUACUGGAACAAAUCAAAAAUACUUGUAAGGCUAUAGAUGGAUUAACUAAAUUACUGUUGGCUGUGCGGCCAAAAAUUAACCAAGUUGAGAAUGAAUUGAAGGCCGCUGGGAAAGAUAUAGAGACCUUGCAGAAAAAACUACCAUGGAUUGAUCAGAGGAAAGAUGAAGCACACCAAUGCAUUCACAAACUGAAAAAACAACAGAGUGAGGAGAUAUGAUGAGUUAGUUUAGUUAAACACAGUCAGUGUGUUUAACAAGACUUGGCCACUUGGCAGUCAGUCAGCAAGACCUUGCAAGUUGAGGAACUCCACCCACCUAAUACCAAACCACAUAUUCAUUACCACAACAAGAAAAUGAGAUGGCAAUUAGCUCUUUCGUCAAAGCAAGAGGGAGAUGCCAAUCCGCUCACCUUAUUUAUGAAAAAUUAUUAUGUGUUCGUACCACCAAGUGACAUGCAAAUUAUUGAUGUGCAUUAAUGUAGAUUUUAGUGCAAAGUAAAAUCAUUUUAGUGUAU